rnacentral:rRNA from 1 species
GACGAACGCUGGCGGCGUGCUUAACACAUGCAAGUCGAACGGUGAACCUCUUCGGAGGGGAUCAGUGGCGAACGGGUGAGUAACACGUGGGCAACCUGCCCCCGGCCCUGGGAUAACUCCAAGAAAUUGGGGCUAAUACCGGAUGUUCACCGCUUCCCGCAUGGGUGGUGGUGAAAAGGGUUUGCGGCUGGGGAUGGGCGCGCGGCCUAUGAGCUUGUUGGUGGGGUAGUGGCCUACGAAGGCGACGACGGGUAGCCGACCUGAGAGGGGGACCGGCCACAAGGGGCCUGAGAGAGGGACCAGAGUCCUACGGGAGGCAGCGGUCGCGAGUAUUACCCAACGGUCGCGCGCCUGAGGCAAAGACGCUGGGUUGGUGAUGCCCGCUUGCUGGUUGUGAAAAUCUUCAAGCAGGGACCCCGCGGAUGUGACGGUACCUGCAGAAGAAGCACCGGCCAACUACGUG